rnacentral:rRNA from 1 species
CUAAGGCUCCAGAGGAAGCCACGGCUAACUCUGUGCCAGCAGCCGCGGUAAUACAGAGGCGGCAAGCGUUGUCCGGAAUUAUUGGGCGCAAAGAGCACGUAGGCGGCCUUGCAAGUCAGUUGUGAAAGCCUUCCGCUCAACGGAAGAAUGCCAGCUGAUACUACAGGGCUUGAGUACGGGAGGGGAGAGUGGAACUUCUGGUGGAGCGGUGAAAUGCGUAGAUAUCAGAAGGAACGCCGGCGGCGAAAGCGACUCUCUGGCCCGAAACUGACGCUGAGUGUGCGAAAGCUAGGGGAGCAAGCGGGAUUAGAUACCCCGGUAGUCCUAGCCGUAAA